UUUUAGGGCAGAAAGCGAGGU
rnacentral:misc_RNA from 1 species